rnacentral:tRNA from 1 species
UAGCUCAGUCAGUAGAGCAUGAGACUCUUAAUCUCAGGUCCGUGGGUCCCCCGCACCCAC